UAAACCAGAGUGGAUUGUGCUGGCCUUUUUGGCAUGUGCACGUUCACCAGUGUUUCAUUCUUUUCUUCUCCACCUGUGCAUUUUUUGUAGGUCUGUGUUGUUAUCUUUCAAGCCCCUUGUGGCUGGGUUUAGAGAAGUUGCUUGCUGAUCCAGUCAGGCUCUUCUUGGACAAUGCAGGCCUAUGUUUUACAUCAACACCUAGAUGAAUGUAAAUGAAUGUGUUUUCAGGCUUUUUGUGCCUUUAAAUUAUAUACAACUUUCAACAACGGAUCUCUUGGUUCUCGCAUCGAUGAAGAACGCAGCGAAAUGCGAUAAGUAAUGUGAAUUGCAGAAUUCAGUGAAUCAUCGAAUCUUUGAACGCACCUUGCGCUCCUUGGUAUUCCGAGGAGCAUGCCUGUUUGAGUGUCAUUAAAUUCUCAAUCCUCAACAGCUUUUUGUUGUUGGGUCAUUGGAUUAUGGGAGCUGCUGGCCAUGUCCGGCUCUCCUUAAAAGCAUUAGCAGGGCAAUAAUGCUGUCUGUCACCUUGGUAUGAUAUUUAUCUAUGCCUUGGGCUGAUGGUGUUCACUUGCUUCUAAUGGUCUUYGUGACAUUUCAUUUUCUGACUCUUGACCUCAAAUCAGGUAGGACUACCCGCUGAACUUAAGCAUA
rnacentral:rRNA from 1 species